UACAGAGGAGCCAAGCGUUGUCCGGAUUGACUGGGCGUAAAGCGCACGCAGGCGGAUGCGCGCGUGGGGUGUGAAAUCUGGCCGCUUAACGGCCAGGCGCCAUCCCAUACGGCGCGUCUGGAGUGAUGCAGAGGUCGAUGGAAUUGCCGGUGUAGUGGUGAAAUGCGUAGAGAUCGGCAGGAACACCCAGGGGGAAACCAGCCGACUGGGCAAGUGCUGACGCUGAGGUGCGAGAGCGUGGGGAGCGAACCGG
rnacentral:rRNA from 1 species